UGCAUGAAUUGUUGACAUGGAAAAAUGAGCAUCUUUUAUUUAAUCGUUGAUAAGGAAAUCAUGGAUUUUAUGGUAUAUUGGAAAAUUUAAAUAUGCUUAUGUUGUCUUGUUAUUUAGAAAAUUGAUAGAAAAUCUUUUUAACGAGAAUGAAGUUGAAAACCUUACAAACUUUGUGGAAGUUAGAUUAUUUAAGUUUUUUCUGAAACUACCUGGUUAUAAACUAUGUAUUUGAAAGGAAAUGUAUACCUCUGAGAUUUAUGUGGUUUUAACACCAUGUCAUAUGUGGUUUCCCAAUGAUCACCCGAUUUGGUUUUUGUAGUCUUUGUAAUAAUGGAAUCAGAUCUAGGUCAGUGCCCUUUCACUUUGGAUGACGUGUUCUUCCCUGCUGCCUAUGGGGGGAAAAGGUUCCUUGAUUAUGUUUGGGUGAGGCUGCUGUCCAUGGGGCCAAAAGACCACAUGAAAAAGAGGUCUUAUUUGACGCACUCUAUUACCCAUGGGGGGAGAGAAAAACCAUGAGGGUAUGGGUGAGGCUAUUGUCCAUAAGGCCAAGAGUCUACAUACCAGAGAGGAAAAUAUCAUGCCAGUUGUGAAUGGGUGAAUCCCUUGACCGGUCUAUGUGGUAGUGUGGUAUAUAUAUGAUAAUUUACCUUUUGUUAGAUAUUAUGGCUUUGGAAAUUAUAUUGUUGGUGCUCACAGAUUAUAGUAUAUAGUUUCAAGGUAUUUACUUUGAGAAACUUUGUGUUUCAUUAUUCAAUCAUUCUUAUCAUAUCAUAUUUGUAACAUCCCAAUCAGCUUUAAAAAAAAGUCAAGAUCAGAUAUAUUUUUGGGUUCCCAUGUGCCAAGCCCUACCUAACCUCACUACCCACAUCACAAUCACUCUAUCUUUUCAUUCCUUUGGCUGGCUCACUCCCUCACUUCUCUUUUCUUUCUUUUCUUCUUUUUCAUUUUCGGUAGAACACUCUCUACUCUCAUCCUCUCCACUGGCACUUCCACACCACCACCAUCACCAUUUCCACAAUCAUUUUUCCGGCAAGAUCACCAGAAGAUUCUUGGGAACCCAUAAACACCUUCACAUCCUUUUUUUGAGGUCCUAGCUAAUCUCCUUGGAACUUGGAGAAUUAGGAUUUCGCGGUUGCGAGGUAAGUAGCUUUUAAUGGGAUUUUGAAAAAUAACCAUGUUAUAUAAAUGUUUUUGGAUUAGACACGCUUUUGGAAACUACCUAUGGAAAUUAUAUUUUCCUAAAAACUAUUGCGUCGUAACCUUAAUAUAUAUAUAUAUAUAUAUAUGAUUAUAUAUAGAAAUGCAUCAUAUUUGGUAUUGCAUUUGGGGAAAUGCAUGAAUUGUUGAUAUGGAAAAAUGAGUAUCUUUCAUUUAAUCUUUGAUAAGAAAAUCAUUGAUUUUGUGGUUUAUUGAAAAAUUUAAAGAUGCUUACCUUGUCUUGUAUUAUUUGGUGAUUUGAUAGAAAUCUCUUGACAAGAAUGAAGUUGAAAACCUUACAAACUUUGUAGAAGUUAGAUUAUUUAAGGUUUUCUGAAACUACUUGGAUAUGAACUAUGUGUUUCAAAGUAAUGUAACAUGUGAGUUGUUUUAACACCAUGCUAUGUGUGAUUUCCUGAUGAUCACCCGAUUUAGUUUCAGUAGUCUUUGUGACAACGGAAUCAAAUCCAGGUCAAUGCCCUUUCACUUUGGAUGAUGCUUUCUUCCCUGUUGUCCAUGGGGGAAAGAGGUUCCUUAAUUGUGUGUGGGUGAGGCUGCUGUCCAUGGGGCCAAAAGACCACAUGCAAGAGAGGUCCUAUUUGACGUGCUCUCUCUGUUGCCCAUGGGGGGAAAGAAAAACCUUGAGGGUAUGGCUGAGGCUGCUAUCCUUGGGGCCAAGAGUCUGCAUACCAGAGAGGAUAAUAUCAUGCCAGUUGUGAAUGGGUGGAUCCCCUGAUCGGUCUAUGUGGUAAUAUGGUAGAUUUGUGAUAAUCUAUCUUAUGUUAGAUAUUAUGGCUUUGGAAAUUAUAUUGUUGAUGCUCACAGAUUAUAGUGUAUAGUUUCAAGGUAUUUUCUUUGAGAAACUUUGUGUUUCAUUAUUUAAUCAUUCUUGUCAUAUUAUUAUUUUGAUGAUGAAACUUGCAUUUCCCCCACCCCCAUUAAAUGUGCUACUUACUGGGUUUUGUCUCAUCCCAUUAUUUUAUAAACUUUUCAAAGUAGGUAACAAUCUUUUGAGAUAGCUUUUUGAUGGCUAAUAGUAGUUAGACUAACUACUGAUGGAGGCUGAACUUUUGUAAUGGAGAUAUUAGAUGUUACAUCUUAGAAUAGGCUUGACUCAUUCUUUUGUAUAUUAUAGUGGUUGUGACUUUAUUCCCACCGAUGGAACAAGUUGUUGAUAUGUAAUUAUUUAUUCAGACCUCUAUCAUUUUGUGGCCAAUGGUCAUUGUAAUUAAUGCUUAAAGCUCUGACUUACUUUGAGAGUAUAUUCAAUGGAAUUAUUAUGAUAA